CAAUUAUAUAAAUUUUUUGACACCGAACAUCUUUCUAUUGGCAAUGAUGAAAGUAAAAACUAUACGGUGGAUCUUAUAGCCAAAUGGAUAUGACUAUGGAUAGACGAGGCCAAAUAUAUUUCAUUCCUUGGAUUGUUGAUCGACAUUGGAUGUUGGUGCUCGUGAUGAUGCGGGGGAUGACCAUAAUUUUGGAUCCUUUAAAAAAUCAUAAAUCUCCACCAAUAAUUACGGAGGUUAUGGGAAAAGCAUACGCACAAUGUUUGGAAAAUGAAUACAUCGACACAUUUACAAAAUUGGUGAGAGGUUCUUGUCCAAAACAACCUGAAAGUCAUGAAUGUGGUUAUUAUGUACUAAGAUACAUUUAUGAUCUUGUAAAUG